rnacentral:rRNA from 1 species
AUUGAACGCUGGCGGCAGGCCUAACACAUGCAAGUCGAACGAGUGGCGGACGGGUGAGUAAUGUCUGGGAAACUGCCUGAUGGAGGGGGAUAACUACUGGAAACGGUAGCUAAUCCCGCAUACCAUCGGAUGUGCCCAGAUGGGAUUAGCUAGUAGGUGGGGUAAAGGCUCACCCAGGCGACGAUCCCUAGCUGGUCUGAGAGGAUGACCGGCCAACCUGGAACUGAGACACGGUGCAGACUCCUACGGGAGGCAGCAGUGGGGAAGAUUGGACAAUGGGCGCAAGCCUGAAGCAGCCAUGCCGCGAGUAUGAAGAAGGCCUUCGGGUUGUAAAGUACUUUCAGCGGGGAGGCGGUACCAGCAGAAGAAGCACCGGCUAACUCCGUGCCAGCAGCCGCGGUAAUAC